GUGUGUGUUUUAUAUUAUGUCUAUGUUGCUGCAUAAGCGUGAUUUCAUCCCAAUAUGUCAUAAACUAACGUUUUCGUCGCCAAUUUUGAGUUGAACCCAUAAAAUAUAGAAUCAUAUGCGCCUUUUUAUUAUCCUUGCUUAAUCGUACACCAGUUAACUUAUAAUAGAUUGCAACAACAAGACACUUACAUAACAAUUAACAUAUACAUGUGUAACUGUUCUUUCACCAGAGAUACCCAUGUCUGGAGAGAUGAAUCAAUGCAAUACCGAAGCGACGAAAGCCCGCACACCAAUUUACAAUAUCAGCCGAUUUCCAAUGAAGAACUUUAUGCUGAAGAUGGGAAUUGCUGUAUAUUUCCCGUCUAGACCCUUCAAUACAUUCGUACGUGAUGAAGUGUUGAAUUAUAUGCUGUACCGAGAAAUUACAAGAACAGAUUGGAAAAAGGCGUUGACAAGUUUGGCGAACAAAAGGCGAAAACAAUUACCUUGUUUGGAAGACAGCGGAGUUACUCUGUUGCAACAUUUGUACAACUAGCUGUGAUUAAUAUUUGUUUUUGCAGAUGAAUAAGUCAGCACUACUUCUCUUUCUUGUAUUAGGACUGCUCGUUCUAUCCGAAACAACGGAUGCUGCCUGGGAUAGACGUCGCUGGAUCCUUGGCGAUACUCAAAAAAAUAUUCAAAAUCUUGAAGACAUGAAUGAAGAUGAUUUUCUAUCAUUUGAAUCUUUGAACUUUGAAGAUUAAAGAAACGAUGAUCGCCGGUUAAUUUAUCGACGGAUGGCAUUUACAUGCACAUUUAAAAUUAAAUUGAAAAUAAGAAACUACGGUAUUA